rnacentral:rRNA from 1 species
UACGGAGGAUGCGAGCGUUAUCCGGAUUUAUUGGGUUUAAAGGGUGCGUAGGCGGAUUGAUAAGUCAGUGGUGAAAUUCUACAGCUUAACUGUAGACUUGCCGUUGAUACUGUUAGUCUUGAGUGUGGUCAAGGCAGGCGGAAUGUGUAAUGUAGCGGUGAAAUGCUUAGAUAUUACACAGAACACCGAUUGCGAAGGCAGCUUACUAAUCCAUCAUUGACGCUGAGGCACGAAAGCGUGGGGAUCAAACAGGA